rnacentral:rRNA from 1 species
UUGAAAGGGAAACGAUUGAAGUCAGUCGUACUUGCGGGUAAUCAGCCUUUUGGGUGUGAUUCUGUGGGGCGUGGGGAGUUAAACGCCUUCAUGCCUGCGUAUUCGUGCACUUUGGGUGUACUUGCCCGUGUGGUAGGUUAACAUCAAUUUUGAUCAUCAUAAAAUGGCUGGAGGAAUGUAGCUUCGAUCUCGUAUUGAAGUGUUAUAGCCUUCGGCAGAUGUGAUGAUCGGGAUUGAGGAUUGCAACGGAUACCCUUCGGGGCUACCUGCCUGAUCUCUGAUUGUUGCUCUGGUGCCGAAAGCGUGCUUACGGUUAUCAAAGUCGAUGGUCAACAGGUUAGAACGGGUUAAAUUCGUUAAGGAUGUUGACGUA